CCUACGGGAGGCAGCAGUGGGGGAUAUUGCACAAUGGGGGAAACCCUGAUGCAGCAACGCCGCGUGUGGGAAGAAGGUUUUCGGAUUGUAAACCACUGUUCUUGGUGAAGAUAAUGACGGUAACCAAGGAGAAAGCUCCGGCUAACUACGGCCCAGCAGCCGCGGUAAUACGGAGGAUUCAAUCGUUAUCCGGAUUUAUGGGGUUUAAAGGGUGCGGAGGCGGUCCGUUAAGUCAGCGGUAAAAUUGCGGGGUUAACCCCCGUCGAGCCGUUGAAACUGGCAGACUUGAGUUGGCGAGAAGGACGCGGAAUGCGCGGUGUAGCGGUGAAAUGCAUAGAUAUCGCGCAGAACUCCGAUUGCGAAGGCAGCGUACCGGCGCCAGACUGACGCUGAGGCACGAAAGCGUGGGGAUCGAACAGGAUUAGAUACCCCAGUAGUC
rnacentral:rRNA from 1 species